rnacentral:lncRNA from 1 species
UUUUAUACUUUAUAGUAAAUUAUAAUUGAUGGCUGAUUUUUACUUGUCAUCGUUGUAAGAACUCAUUUUUGCCCGGCCCGUCAAUAAAAUAAAACCAAAUGAAAAAACAAUUAAGCAGUCCAGUUUACAACCUAGCCCAAACCUAAACCCAUUAAGCUUAGCUCCAACCUAAUCAGCCGAAUCACUUAACCCUAAGCCCACUAGCCUUAACCACAAGCAGAAACCCUAGCAGCUAAGGUGAGCCUCCAGCGCCGCAGCCACCAGGGCCUUCCCUCGGCCCCACGAGCCUUCACAUGCCUCAGCCGCCGCUCCAGCAAGCCAUCAAGCCGCCGACGCCAACACACAUGUACGUUCCCCCCACGCGCGCCUGCCUCUUCACGCACAGCCUCCGUACAUGCGCGCCCGCGCACCUCCGUACCCGUACCUGCACAACAAACUAGUAGCAAACAUAAAGAGAAAAGGAAAAAUAACAAACAAAAAGGCAAUAGAAAAAAGGAAAAUAGAAAAGGAGCAGAGAAAAGAGAUGUAUUUUGAAUUUAUUUAUGAUUUUUCUUUUUCGCUUUGGCUAUAAAAAGCUGAUUCAUCUUUCGUACCAAGGGGGAGGAUUGUAUUAAAAAACGAUUGAAAGAAAAAGCAAUAAAAAAAACAACAGUCUUUGAAGGUGAUUUUCCAGUUUUUUUCUCUUGAUUUCAUCAUUCUCUGAUUUCUUUUUUUCUUUUAUCUAUUGUUCGAGAAAAGGGAACGAAAGGGGUGAAGGUUUUUUACCUUUGUUGCGAAGCCGAACCCUCGUCCUCUUCGUUGUGAUCAGAGAAAGGGUGGGGGAUCGGAGGUCUUUUAUGCGGUUGGGGUUGAAGCGGCGCUGAGAGAAGGGGCGUUUUUUUUAUGUUUUUUUAUUUU